rnacentral:rRNA from 1 species
GAACUUAAGCAUAUCAAUAAGCGGAGGAAAAGAAACUAACUAGGAUUCCCUUAGUAACGGCGAGUGAACCGGGAUGAGCUCAAAUUUAAAAUCUGGCGUCUUUCAGGCGUCCGAGUUGUAAUCUAUAGAGGCGUUUUCCGCGCCGGACCGCGUCCAAGUCUCUUGGAAUAGAGUAUCAAAGAGGGUGACAAUCCCGUACUUGACGCGACAACCGGUGCUCUGUGAUACGUUCUCAAUGAGUCGAGUUGUUUGGGAAUGCAGCUCUAAAUGGGUGGUAAAUUCCAUCUAAGGCUAAAUAUUGGCGAGAGACCGAUAGCGAACAAGUACCGUGAGGGAAAGAUGAAAAGCACUUUGGAAAGAGAGUUAAACAGCACGUGAAAUUGUUAAAAGGGAAACGAUUGAAGUCAGUCGUGUGAAAGGUAUUCAGCCGUCUCUGGCGGUGUAUUUGCCUUUCACGGGUCAACAUCAGUUUGAUCCGGUAGAAAAAGGCAGGAGGAAGGUGGCACCCUCGGGUGUGUUAUAGCCUCUUGUCAUAUGUGCCGGACCAGACUGAGGAACGCAGCUUGCCGCAAGGCCGGGGUUCGCCCACGUACAAGCUUAGGAUGUUGACAUAAUGGCUU